GCCUGUGGUAGCACAGUGGUUAAGGCAUUCAACUACAGACUGGAAGUUUGAGUUCAAAUCCCAGCACUGUCA